rnacentral:rRNA from 1 species
UAGGGAAUCUUCGGCAAUGGGGGGAACCCUGACCGAGCAACGCCGCGUGAGUGAAGAAGGUUUUCGGAUCGUAAAGCUCUGUUGUUAAGGAAGAACGAGUGUGAGAAUGGAAAGUUCAUACUGUGACGGUAGCUUACCAGAAAGGGACGGCUAACUACGUGCCAGCAGCCGCGGUAAUACGUAGGUCCCGAGCGUUGUCCGGAUUUAUUGGGCGUAAAGCGAGCGCAGGCGGUUUGAUAAGUCUGAAGUUAAAGGCUGUGGCUCAACCAUAGUUCGCUUUGGAAACUGUCAAACUUGAGUGCAGAAGGGGAGAGUGGAAUUCCAUGUGUAGCGGUGAAAUGCGUAGAUAUAUGGAGGAACACCGGUGGCGAAAGCGGCUCUCUGGUCUGUAACUGACGCUGAGGCUCGAAAGCGUGGGGAGCGAACAGGAUUAGAUACCCUGGUAGUCCACGCCGUAAACGAUGAGUGCUAGGUGUUGGAUCCUUUCCGGGAUUCAGUGCCGCAGCUAACGCAUUAAGCACUCCGCCUGGGGAGUACGACCGCAAGGUUG